UAUCACUGAGGCAAUGCCUAGAAGUCAAGUAAUCUGCCUGAAGAUAUUUUCAUUUAAGACAUUCACUACACUUGAAACAUCAGUAGCUGUGGACACUCCUGAACUCCAAGCACUGCCUGUGGCUUUCACAUUAUUGGCAGAUGAUGACAAGCAAGUCCCAUCACAUUCAGUGCAGUCAUACAGGGGAAAAGAGGAGGACUGUGGCAAGACUGCCUCAAAAAAGUUAGAACAGAAUAAUUUUCAACUUAUUCAAGUGCUAAGAAUGAGCGCCUGUUCCCAGAAAUUUCCUUCUGUUUGGCAACACUUCUGUUGAAGAUCAUGAGCACUGUAACAGAUUUGGUGUCUGCUGAGACUGUUCUUCACCUGCAUGGAUUUAAUCA
rnacentral:lncRNA from 1 species